UUAUAAUAUUAUAGAAGUAACGACAAACAACUAGGUAAUUAUACGUAGCUAAAUGGGUUCUAAGCUUGACUCGGAGUC